rnacentral:rRNA from 1 species
GACGAACGCUGGCGGCGUGCUUAACACAUGCAAGUCGAGCGGAGAUGAGGUGCUUGCACCUUAUCUUAGCGGCGGACGGGUGAGUAAUGCUUAGGAAUCUGCCUAUUAGUGGGGGACAACAUUCCGAAAGGAAUGCUAAUACCGCAUACGUCCUACGGGAGAAAGCAGGGGAUCUUCGGACCUUGCGCUAAUAGAUGAGCCUAAGUCGGGUUAGCUAGUUGGUGGGGUAAAGGCCUACCAAGGCGACGAUCUGUAGCGGGUCUGAGAGGAUGUACCGCCACACUGGGACUGAGACACGGCCCAGACUCCUACGGGAGGCAGCAGUAGGGAAUAUUGGACAAUGGGGGGAACCCUGAUCCAGCCAUGCCGCGUGUGUGAAGAAGGCCUUAUGGUUGUAAAGCACUUUAAGCGAGGAGGAGGCUACUGAGACUAAUACUCUUGGAUAGUGGACGUUACUCGCAGAAUAAGCACCGGCUAACUCUGUGCCAGCAGCCGCCGUAACAC